rnacentral:rRNA from 1 species
UCAAGUGAAGAAGCGCAUACGGUGGAUGCCUUGGCAGUCAGAGGCGAUGAAAGACGUGGUAGCCUGCGAAAAGCUUCGGGGAGUCGGCAAACAGACUUUGAUCCGGAGAUCUCUGAAUGGGGGAACCCACCUAGGAUAACCUAGGUAUCUUGUACUGAAUCCAUAGGUGCAAGAGGCGAACCAGGGGAACUGAAACAUCUAAGUACCCUGAGGAAAAGAAAUCAACCGAGAUUCCCUUAGUAGUGGCGAGCGAACGGGGAUUAGCCCUUAAGCUUCAUUGAUUUUAGCGGAACGCUCUGGAAAGUGCGGCCAUAGUGGGUGAUAGCCCCGUACGCGAAAGGAUCUUUGAAGUGAAAUCGAGUAGGACGGAGCACGAGAAACUUUGUCUGAACAUGGGGGGACCAUCCUCCAAGGCUAAAUACUACUGACUGACCGAUAGUGAACCAGUACCGUGAGGGAAAGGCGAAAAGAACCCCGGAGAGGGGAGUGAAAUAGAACCUGAAACCGUAUGCGUACAAGCAGUGGGAGCCUACUUGUUAGGUGACUGCGUACCUUUUGUAUAAUGGGUCAGCGACUUAUAUUCAGUGGCAAGCUUAACCGUAUAGGGUAGGCGUAGCGAAAGCGAGUCUUAAUAGGGCGUUUAGUCGCUGGGUAUAGACCCGAAACCGGGCGAUCUAUCCAUGAGCAGGUUGAAGGUUAGGUAACACUGACUGGAGGACCGAACCCACUCCCGUUGAAAAGGUAGGGGAUGACUUGUGGAUCGGAGUGAAAGGCUAAUCAAGCUCGGAGAUAGCUGGUUCUCCUCGAAAGCUAUUUAGGUAGCGCCUCAUGUAUCACUCUGGGGGGUAGAGCACUGUUUCGGCUAGGGGGUCAUCCCGACUUACCAAACCGAUGCAAACUCCGAAUACCCAGAAGUGCCGAGCAUGGGAGACACACGGCGGGUGCUAACGUCCGUCGUGAAAAGGGAAACAACCCAGACCGCCAGCUAAGGUCCCAAAGUUGUGGUUAAGUGGUAAACGAUGUGGGAAGGCUUAGACAGCUAGGAGGUUGGCUUAGAAGCAGCCACCCUUUAAAGAAAGCGUAAUAGCUCACUAGUCGAGUCGGCCUGCGCGGAAGAUGUAACGGGGCUCAAACCACACACCGAAGCUGCGGGUGUCACGCAAGUGACGCGGUAGAGGAGCGUUCUGUAAGCCUGUGAAGGUGAGUUGAGAAGCUUGCUGGAGGUAUCAGAAGUGCGAAUGCUGACAUGAGUAACGACAAUGGGUGUGAAAAACACCCACGCCGAAAGACCAAGGGUUCCUGCGCAACGUUAAUCGACGCAGGGUUAGUCGGUUCCUAAGGCGAGGCUGAAAAGCGUAGUCGAUGGGAAACAGGUUAAUAUUCCUGUACUUCUGGUUACUGCGAUGGAGGGACGGAGAAGGCUAGGCCAGCUUGGCGUUGGUUGUCCAAGUUUAAGGUGGUAGGCUGAAAUCUUAGGUAAAUCCGGGGUUUCAAGGCCGAGAGCUGAUGACGAGUCGUCUUUUAGAUGACGAAGUGGUUGAUGCCAUGCUUCCAAGAAAAGCUUCUAAGCUUCAGGUAACCAGGAACCGUACCCCAAACCGACACAGGUGGUCGGGUAGAGAAUACCAAGGCGCUUGAGAGAACUCGGGUGAAGGAACUAGGCAAAAUGGCACCGUAACUUCGGGAGAAGGUGCGCCGGCUAGGGUGAAGGAUUUACUCCGUAAGCUCUGGCUGGUCGAAGAUACCAGGCCGCUGCGACUGUUUAUUAAAAACACAGCACUCUGCAAACACGAAAGUGGACGUAUAGGGUGUGACGCCUGCCCGGUGCCGGAAGGUUAAUUGAUGGGGUUAGCGCAAGCGAAGCUCUUGAUCGAAGCCCCGGUAAACGGCGGCCGUAACUAUAACGGUCCUAAGGUAGCGAAAUUCCUUGUCGGGUAAGUUCCGACCUGCACGAAUGGCGUAACGAUGGCGGCGCUGUCUCCACCCGAGACUCAGUGAAAUUGAAAUCGCUGUGAAGAUGCAGUGUAUCCGCGGCUAGACGGAAAGACCCCGUGAACCUUUACUGUAGCUUUGCACUGGACUUUGAGCCUGCUUGUGUAGGAUAGGUGGGAGGCUUUGAAGCGUGGACGCCAGUUCGCGUGGAGCCAUCCUUGAAAUACCACCCUGGCAUGCUUGAGGUUCUAACUCUGGUCCGUAAUCCGGAUCGAGGACAGUGUAUGGUGGGCAGUUUGACUGGGGCGGUCUCCUCCUAAAGAGUAACGGAGGAGUACGAAGGUGCGCUCAG